AAGCUAAGAGUUUGAUCCUAGCUCAGGAUGAACGCUGGCGGCGUGGAUAAGGCAUGCAAGUCAAACGGCCCUUCGGGGCAGUGGCAAACGAGGUAGUAACACGUAGGUAUUUACCCCAAAGUCAGGAAUAACUUGUCGAAAGACAAGCUAAUACUUGAUAGUCUCUUCGGAGUAAAGAUUUAUCGCUUUGGGAAAAGCCUGCGGAGUAUCAGCUUGUUGGUAGUGUAAUGGACUACCAAGGCUAUGACGCUUAGGGGAGCUGAGAGGCUGACCCCCACCGAUGGUACUGAGACACGGACCAUACACCUACGGGUGGCCGCAGUCGAGAAUCUUCCGCAAUGGACGAAAGUCUGACGGAGCGACGCCGCGUGAUCGAUGAAG
rnacentral:rRNA from 1 species